ACACUUUCUAAAUUAUUCAUAUUGGGUUUUUUAAAAUCUAUUUUGCUGACUAUCUCUUUUCACAGAAAAUGAACAAGUACUCAAGGGGUAAAGGGACGUCAUAUUGGUAAAUUAGAAGACGUGUGCAACAAAGCAACAUCAAGUUCUACAGUUUCACUAUUUGACAAAAGCCCCACUAGCUCAGUAACAGAAAAGAAAAUCCUAAACUGUUUGGAGAAAGUUAUGACAAACGUGGAGGAAAUAAAAGUACAGACCCACCUAAAUACGCAGCUUCUGCAGGCCACAAUCACAAAGAUCGAUAGACUUGAAAGCCGUCCUGCUCCUGGUGCAGAGGAGCCCGACACUACACUGCAGUUAGAUGUAUGUUUUCCUCUGGGAAAACAAGAAGAUAUACAGAAGCUGGAGGACCUCUUGCAGAGUAAAAACACGUGUAAAACUUUGGUGAGAUCAUUAUCAACUAUUGGUGGUGAAAACACGAAAAGUUCAGUAAGGAGACUACUUUCCCAUAUGAUCACCACAAAACUAGCAGUAAACAUCAACUGGAUGGGAAAAGGGGGGAAAUUGCCUUCUCUUCACUGAAAUUACAGGAAAUAUUGAAAGGUAUGUAAAGAGAGAGAGAGAGAGAGAGAGAGAGAGAGAGAGAGAGAGAGAUUUCAUGAACAAGCUUUGAAAAAUAAACACUUUUGAUGAACAUUCUUUUAUCUAUUUUAAUCAGAAACAGUGGGGAAGAAUCGCCUCUGUGUUAAUGCAACAGACGUGGAAAUUUUCAACGUGGCAAAAGACUGGUUUCGCUUUGCUAGUGAUAGAGAUGGGGGACGAAGGAGAAGGGCAGAGAAAAAGAAACUUCAAAUUCAAAUUCAAGCUGAACAGAAUGAGAGUGAGCUUGAGGAUGAGACCAAUAAUAAAUA